AAUGUUGCUAUGGACAACAUAAAGAGGUGAAAUUGAAUCAGUAAUUAUACUCGUCCUAUUACUAUAUUUCUGUUGUGAUUGUAGUUCGAACCAUUAGGAGACUCAAAUGCCGACUUCGUCAAAACAUUGGGAGAAAAAUGAAAAGCUUUUCUGGUACUGAGGGGGGCAGAGCAGAGCACACAGCCAUCGCCACAUGCUCCUUGUAUCUAUUUAUAGUUAUGUUGGAACACACACACACAUUUGCAAAAGUGGGGACUCAGAAGGGGUCAGUUCAGUCAGAAUUCAAACGGGAACAAAAAGCUCAGUCACAGGUUCAUUAUUUGGCCACACAGUGUGCAUUAAUGAUACUUUUAUGCUCCUGCGUAUUGUAUCUGUGUCAGUAUGUGUUUGCAGGCGUGCAGUGUCGAUUGCAUGAUUAUACUAUGUGUGUGUCUCUGUGUGUGUGUGUGUGUGUGUGUGUGUGUGUGUGUGUGUGUGUGUGUGUGUGUGUGUGUUUGUGUGUUACAACAUUACUGACAGCUGCUGGCAGCACAUGCAUAACAGUGUAAUUCACACCACGGCUGAUCCCACAACUUCACAGAGGCCAACAGAAGGCUCUGCUCCACUCUCUCCUCUCACCUCAAGUCAAGUGUUUCACUGCUCAAAAAAACCUGUUCCACUUACACCAACCCACAAAACCCUGUCUCUCUGCAUUUUAAACUGAUGUAGGACUUGGCAUGGAUCAGUUUUUCUGUCUGUGUGUUGCUGCCUGCUUUGUGAGGAAACUCAAUCACUCACAAAUAUCAAAGUGAACAGGUCGAGGUGUGCGGCAGGAAAAUCUCGAGUUCAUUCCCUGGAAACCAACACUGCAGCUGCAUAUUAAGAAGCAGGAAACAUGCUCCUGCUGAAUGCCUUUCACCAGAGUAAAUCAAUGAGGCCAGGCACCUGGAUGACUGUGACUGGGGAGGGUGUUAAAAAUCAUGAGAUGCGUAGAGUGAUGAUGAGGCUGAUGGCAUCCCAGGGGCUGCUGGGCCCGUUGGCCACCGUGGAGGCCACCAUGGGGGCCAGGGACAGCACGAUGACAG